AGUGGUUAUUUAAAAAUAUUUGGAUUUAAGGAUUACAUUUUGAGUUUGAUUUAUUUAGAAAAGAAUGAAUUAUGUUUUAAGUUUGAAUUUUUGAUGAACGGAAUGGGAGGUGUGAUGAGGAUGAGUGUGAUAAUAAGGAAUGAUUAUGACUGAAUUUGAAUGAAGGAUGAUAAGGAUUGAUUUAAAAGUAUGAUUUUUGACUGAAUUGAAUGAAUUUGAAAAUAAAAUUGAAUCUAAUUGAGAUAUAUGUGAUUGGGUAAGAGGCAGUGGCGUUGUCCACUUACUCCGGAUAAAAGUUCGAGACGCUGGGUAAAAAGCAAGAGUUGAGUUUUGUCACCACUUACUCCGGGUUGAGAAUUCUAACACCGCUUGGGUAAGAGGCAAGGGGUGAGGUUGUCCCCCUUGUCCCGGGUAUGCGGGUAAGAUGUAAGGGUUGUGGUUUGGUCUCACUUGCUCUAUGUUUCGUGUUCCUAUCCAGGAUUUGCUACUGGACAUGUCGGAUUUGGCUAUAUAACUGACAGAUGAGACUCAUCGGCCAUAGGGAAGACAUGCAUCAUAUGUAUUUUUUUGAGUUUGAAUUUGUGUUGGUUUGCCUAAUUGCUUAACUGUUAUUAACUGCUAUUUGAGCAAUUUGCUGUAACUGCUAUCUAUACCUGUGUUUUUCUUGUCUGUUUUGUCUGUAUUUGUUUUUGUUUGUGAUACUUUUGAGAUUGAGUAUUGGUGAUGAAUUGAUGAUAGUGUUAAUUGAUUAUGUGAUGGGAUAGAGGUUGUGAUUGGUUUCUGAUUGAGGUUUAGUUAAGUAUGAAAAUCAAGCUGGUUCAGCAUAGACUUAAUGAACCUAUGCUUAGAACAGGUUGGUCAUUCAUACAGUUUAUGAAACUUUUAAGAUUUUCUUAUAUGAAAAGAAAGGUUUUGAAUUUUUUAUAAUUAACUGUUUCUUUUAAAAAGGUUUUGGAUUUUUGAAUGUUAAACUGUUGGUUUUCAAAAGAUUCAUAUGACAACGAUGAUCACUGUGCUUGAAAAUGUUUUUUUUUUUAAAUAUCUACUUAUGACAAUUCUGAAAAUCCGUGGUGAGACCAUGUGGUUAGGUUCUCACCUCCCUACAGCUUUAUCUUUUUAGGGUUCGGAUGAAGAAGCUUACAAAUAGUUUAAUUACAUUUUGCUUAUACGAUAUUGUCAUAUUAGAUUAGUUAUUAUUUAUUUUUCCCUCGCCAUUAAUAAUGUAUCUUGUAAAGAGGGUUAUGAGUCGUGAUGGUUAUGUUUGUAAGUUAUUGUAUAAAGAACCUAGUUAUUUUGUGUGUGUGUGUGUGUGUGUGUGUGUGAUCAGAGUCAUUUUCUACAAGCCUCAGAAUCGAAGCUGCCGGAAAUAUAGUUGUCUAGUCUCCAUUUGCCAUAAAUAUGUCUAUCCUCUCCAUGACAAGGCCCGCUCCCCUUCUGCGACUAGACCAGGUAUAAGGUCUGCUUGCCAUUAUCGUCUAUAAGUUCUGUGAACUAUUUGAUAGAACUCCAUGCGUUAAGCCUUCCUCCUGUUUUCUCCUCUUGACUGACAAUUGCAUUAAAGUCCCCAAACAUUACAAUUCUUUCCUAAAGUUGCCAGCACACAUUAGAGAUUUUUCCAUACUACACUAGCCGAACUUGAUCAGAGCAACUCAGAUGGACUCCAAUUAAUCACUAAGAUACAUCUGCAACCUCAUCCUUUAUUCUGGCUGCAAUGUAAAAGUGAUCUGCCGUAACACUUCUAUAUUAACCCCCUCUUUUCAUGCUAGAACCAACCCUCCAUCCAUCUCAUUUGGAUAAACAAUUUUUCAAUCAUGAAAUCUGUACAUUCUUAGCUUAUGUUCCACCAAUCGAGGUUGAUUUUUGGUUUCACAAAGGAACACAACCACAGGUGAAUGGAAUUGACACAUCCCUUUAAAGUUUUGGAAUGGCAGGAAUCUUUCCAAAUCCCGACAGUUCCAACUUAGCACCUUCAUGGGUCCGAAGGUGCCAUUUUAUGGCUGGCACCCUCCACCCUCUCAGCAACAUCAUUAUCAUUCUCCAAGCAGACUUUAUUCCAGUUACUUUUGUUCUCUUUUCCAACAUUUCCUCUCUUACUACCAACAUACAUUAAUUUCAAACUUCCUUUCUGUCUGGCUAGUAUUUUCAGAUUAUUCAUCUUUGAUCUUGCAGAUAGGCUAUCAUCAUUUGUCACCACAAUCUCCUCAAUGUUCAUUGGCAUCGGAAUCCUGCCAAUACCCCUGUACUAACCACCCUGAAAAACCUUCCAGCAUCCAUGAGGGAACUGGUUUUUUCCUUGGUUGUGGGAAGGACCUACUAGUGUUCCUCAUUGCUUCGGAUUCAGUGCCUUCCUUUCUUUCCACCUAUUUACCCACCUGAGCUGCUUUGACUCAAUCCCCAAUGGCUUUCUGUUUGACUUGUUGCUUCCUUGAAUCCUCCAAAAAACUUGGGCAGAUUCUCACUUCAUGUCCUAGCAAAGCACAGUAAUUAUAGACUACUCCCAAACAUUCAUAGUGGAGUCCAAUUUUCAUAAUUUUCUUGUUCGGUCCAACCAGUUUUAGCGAGUCUUUAACUUUAUUGAAGCCAUUCAUCUCUUUUUGUGCUUUUAUAAUUCUUGUUUCCUUUCCCCUUACCUCAAAGAAAUCAAUGUCAGUGAUUGAACCAAUUUUUCUCCCAAUUUGCGUCCUACUUCAAGGAUUUUGAAUUGUUCUGACAAAUCCCAGAAUUGAAUCCAAAUCAGAAAGGUAGAGAUUAUCUUCGCCUCUGUAGCUCCUCCUUCACCCCAUCCUUUAACGUGGAGCACAUACCCUUUGAAUACCUAUGGUGAUCCUCUCUUAAUUCUCUUUGUUUCGUCCUUGUUUCCAAAGAAAAAUUGAAAAAGGUUGCGAUCUUUCUCUACCACUUGAAAACCCUCUAGUCUGCUCCAUAUUGCCUUCAUAGAGCUCUCCAUUGUGCCUACAGAGAAUAUCCGAUCAACAAAGAUUCUCCAUAUAAGACUUUUUUUUACAGGCUUGUACUCCAAUGGAUAUGUCUUCCUCCUUAAUUAACACCAUGUCCUCCUCAUCCCCGUUAACCUCUGGAUUAUAGUAAUUGUGAUCUGUUCCUCUUUCAUCCAUGUCUGAUAAUGGCAGCAGUACUUUAGAAUUUGUGAAAAAGUGUUAAUUUUGAUAGUUUAAUUUACCCUAAUAGGGUGCUACGCUAAAAAUCCUAGCAGGGUGCUGUUUUACCUAAUAGGCGCUGAUUUACUUUAAUUUUGAAUAUAUUAUUUAUUAGAAACAAAGUCAUGGAAUUCUAAUUUUUGAAUUGUUUCUCAUAUUUUAUAAGUA